AAAGGCACUACUUACAAACUACUAUGCAACUCAUACGGAGUUCCUUUUCCGACUACGUCAUGGUUCAAAGAUAAUAAAAACAUAACAAAUUCUAGUCCAAAUAAACACAAUAAAUCCGACCAAGUAUUAGUUAUAGAAAAAUUCAAUGCAAAAGAUGAAGGAACAUAUGUAUGUAAAUCUUGUAACUCGGCCGGAUGCAUAAGUCACUCUACAAAAUUAGAAAUUGCAGACGUGGAAAAUAAUCCUGCACCUUUGUCGCAACACCCUGAAUCCAGAAAU